ACGAACGCUGGCGGCGUGCUUAACACCUGCCAGUCGCACGGAAAGGCCCUGCUUUUGUGGGGUGCUCGAGUGGCGAACGGGUGAGUAACACGUGAGUAACCUGCCCUUGACUUUGGGAUAACUUCAGGAAACUGGGGCUAAUACCGGAUAGGAGCUCCUGCUGCAUGGUGGGGGUUGGAAAGUUUCGGCGGUUGGGGAUGGACUCGGGGCUUAUCAGCUUGUUGGUGGGGUAGUGGAUUACCAAGGCUUUGACGGGUAGCCGGCCUGAGAGGGUGAACGGCCACAUUGGGACUGAGAUACGGCCCAGACUCCUACGGGAGGCAGAAGUGGGGAAUAUUGCACAAUGGGCGGAAGCCUGAUGCAGCAACGCCGCGUGCGGGAUGACGGCCUUCGGGUUGUAAACCGCUUUCGCCUGUGACGAAGCGUGAGUGACGGUAAUGGGUAAAGAAGCACCGGCUAACUACGUG
rnacentral:rRNA from 1 species